UACGAAGGGGGCUAGCGUUGCUCGGAAUCACUGGGCGUAAAGGGUGCGUAGGCGGGUCUUUAAGUCAGGGGUGAAAUCCUGGAGCUCAACUCCAGAACUGCCUUUGAUACUGAAGAUCUUGAGUUCGGGAGAGGUGAGUGGAACUGCGAGUGUAGAGGUGAAAUUCGUAGAUAUUCGGAAGAACACCGGUGGCGAAGGCGGCGCUCUGGACCGAGACUGACGCUGAGGCGCGAAAGCGUGGGGAGCAAACAGG
rnacentral:rRNA from 1 species